AGAAGAUUGAAGAUGGACAAGAGCGGACCGCUAGUCUGAGCUCCUUAUCUUUAACUUUACGGUGGUAUUAUCUAUGUCUAGCCUAUAGGACGAGACUUAAACGAAUAUCAGUUGUCGGGCAGAUAAUUAGGACAUCAGUGACUGAGUUCUUGUACAGUUUAAUGAGUUUAAAGAAUGUGAGUAGCCUACCUCGUGACGCCUAGCCUGGGCACCAUUUUAGCUCGUAGUGCUCGAGCCAGAUGCAGUCACCAUGGUCCUCGGUGCACGGGACGUAUCCGACUUUGCUGAGUUGCUGAGACAGAGGAGGAUCUCUUUGCCGCUCGUUAAGACAAAGACAGAUGGAGAGAACGCAGUGACGCUAGCUCAAACAGGUCGACACGAGAAACGGGGAUCCACGCACGCUUCCACACACCUGACUCCCCACUCUCUUCCCUUCCAACGCCUCAAGAAUGGCGCUUAGAGCUCAUCGGCACGUGAUGGUGACCUUGUCCCUGCCGACGACCCUACAAUGACCUCUAGCGACCUGGCUCGGGAUGAUGAGGUGCUGGCUAUGGAGCCCCUGCUAAAGCCACGGCCAAAGCUCCUGAGCCAACGUUUUCAGACAGAUCACUCAAAAGAAACACCUCACAGAGCACCAGAGCUUCAGACUCUCCGAUACCUGACCGUCAUGUUCAUCGAGCUCACACAGCUGGACAACAUCUCACACCUGGUGAGGAGGAGGAGGAGGAUGAGGGCUGGACACUGGAAUGCCUUGAAUGUACCUGUGUGGAUGGUGCUGAAGUGGACGCCGUGUGAACUUCACCAGCAAUGGCUCCAAUCUGACAUUAACGCAGUCCUAUCUAAAAUGGCAGUUGGAGAUAUACCUGAGAGAAAGAUGGAGGUGGAAGACAUGAAGGAAGAGACACUCUGGAAAGAUGGAGGGGGAGGACAGGGCUUCUAUUAA
rnacentral:lncRNA from 1 species